GGUGGAAUGCGUAGAUAUAUGGAAGAACACCAGUGGCGAACGGGCGGCUACCUGGUCUGCAACUGACGCUGAGACUCGAAAGCAUGGGUAGCGAACAGGAUUAGAUACCCUGGUAGUCCAUGCCGUAAACGAUGAGUGCUAGGUGUUGGAGGGUUUCCGCCCUUCAGUGCCGGAGCUAACGCAUUAAGCACUCGCGCCUGGGGAGUACGACCGCAAGGUUGAAACUCAAAGGAAUUGACGGGGGCCCGCACAAGCGGUGGAGCAUGUGGUUAAUUCGAAGCUACGCGAAGAACCUUACCAGGUCUUGACAUCUUGCGCCAACCCUAGAGAUAGGGCGUUUCCUUCGGGAACGCAAUGACAGGUGGUGCAUGGUCGUCGUCAGCUCGUGUCGUGAGAUGUUGGGUUAAGUCCCGCAACGAGCGCAACCCUUGUUACUAGUUGCCAGCAUUAAGUUGGGCACUCUAGUGAGACUGCCGGUGACAAACCGGAGGAAGGUGGGGACGACGUCAGAUCAUCAUGCCCCUUAUGCGUACCUGGGCUACACACGUGCUACAAUGGACGGUACAACGAGUCGCGAACUCGCGAGGGCAAGCAAAUCUCUUAAAACCGUUCUCAGUUCGGACUGCAGGCUGCAACUCGCCUGCACGAAGUCGGAAUCGCUAGUAAUCGCGGAUCAGCAUGCCGCGGUGAAUACGUUCCCGGGCCUUGUACACACCGCCCGUCACACCAUGAGAGUUUGUAACACCCAAAGU
rnacentral:rRNA from 2 species